GACGGAGGAUGCAAGCGUUAUCCGGAAUUAUUGGGCGUAAAGCGUCCGCAGGUGGUUAGACAAGUCUGCUGUUAAAGCGUGGAGCUUAACUCCACAACGGCGGUGGAAACUGUCUGACUAGAGUUCGGUAGGGGUCACGGGAAUUCCCAGUGUAGCGGUGAAAUUCGUAGAUAUUGGGAAGAACACCAGCCGCGAAAGCGCGUGACUGGGCCGAGACUGACACUCAUGGACGAAAGCUAGGGGAGCGAAAGGG
rnacentral:rRNA from 1 species